CAUUGAGGCUGUAUUACAGUGACUUUGUCUGUUUUUCUGUACUUCUGUCCAUUCAUCCAUUUGUCCGAAUUAUAUUUCCAUCACACUUUCUCUGGUACUAUUGAAUAGAAUGACUGUAUUUAGUCAGCAUCUUGACAUGAAAAUUUCAAGGACUGAAUUUUCAGCUCUCCCUUGACACCAUUUGCGAGUAUGGUCUUGAGGAAAUGAUGAUAGUCUGCCAGAAGGGGAUGAUAAAUGACUGACCUGUGUUAAGAGAGAGCCAUAUCUCUUGCACGUUAAAGACACUCUUGUAGAUUUUGAAAAAGAGCAGACUAAUGCCGCUACAAGGCAGCACUCGCACCCACAAAGUGGAAAGGGAUUAAUAUAAGUUUGCAAAACUUGUUUCCCAAUCACUAGUUAAUAAAUAUGUUUAAACUAAACUAAACAAUAGCAUCUUGACAUUGAUAAGUUGUAUUGUGUGAACACUCUCAAUAUGUUGAAUGAACCUAAAGAUAUUUCAUCACACUUUUCUCAAGUACUACUGAUAUUAGGUCAACAGCUUGGGGGUCAUGAGUUGUAAAGUGUUAGCACUUUUUUGUAUUUGUCAGACACAUACUUCCUGUUUUCUUGUACUUUAAAUUACAAGUGUGGGUAUACUUAGCUUGACAAUGCAUGAAUUCUUGUUUGGUGUUAUUGACGACAAGCUACCCUUCAAUUUUGACAAGAAGAAAAGUAGAUCUCUUAAAUUUACAUUUAUAAAUAAUAUAUAAAUGCAAAUUUAAGAGAUCUAAUUUCUUAUUAUUAUGUACUUGAGCAUUAACUUUUAAAUUGCUAAGGAUUACUGUGGUGAAUUUUAUUUAUUUAUUUAUUUAGUUUUCUGGUAUGUAGGUGCUGUAUAUAUGUAUGUUCAAAUACCAAGCUUGGUAUGGAAACAUUUAAUCCAAUUCUUUUUGUGUAUUUUCUGCAGUACCACAUAUUUAUUCUUUCAUUGACUUGUCUCUAGAAAACGUAAGGGCCUUGAUGGCCAAUUGGUCUAAGUAGUCGAUCUGCUGUAUCACAAGCCUAUCAACACUAAGGUUGUGACCUUGAACCCUGCUCAUGCAGCUGCACUUGACCCUAAUCUUAACUGAUGAAAAUUGUCAGCUUUCCUAUCAAAGGUCAAUGAUUUUCCAUAGGCACUCCAGCUUCCUCCAUUGAUAAAAAACUGGCCACCAUGAAAAACUCCAGGAGUUUCUUAUAAAGAGUAAAUUCUUGACCAGGAUUUAGUGAAGACACAUCAAAUUUUCAGAAUGCAACUUGAAAAAAAGUUGUGACCCUUUGAGUUUAGCAAGGAAGUAAGAAAACACGCCUUUCUAUGGUCUUAUGUCAUUUUCUCUCCAGAUCCAAAAGACAUCAGCUUUUGUCUUUUGCUUAAUUUUUCCUAAGACCUUUUGAGAUAUUAUUCCCACCUGACUCAACCACUUUUAAUAUGUAGUACAUUGUAAUAAGGAACAAAAUUAGGAGGUAUUGUAGCAUUCACUUACAUGCCUAUCCCUGCAACAAUAUUAUUUUGCAUUUCUUGAGCCUGUAAUUGUUAGUUGCUGCCUGAUAUUUCUGUUUUUCCGUUAAUCAUUAUGUCAUAAAGCAGGCCGUUGGAUUUUUUGUAUGAAUUGUUUCUCAUUUUGUUAUACCUGACUUGAAUACAAUAUAGGUUUUCCUCAUUAUUGAAGGCUGUACAAUGACCUAUAAUUGCUUUAAUCAAUGUCAUGUAGACUCUGUUGUUAUCCAUUCGUUUGAUGUGUUUCAGCUUUUGAUUUUGCCAUUUGAUAAGAGAUUUUCUUGGAAGUUCAGUAUUUUACAUUGGAUAGUUGUCUCAAUGGCAAUCAUACCAUAUGUACCUUUAUACAUACAGUGUAACCUAUGUUAUCCGACACACUGGGGGACCAGAAAAAAAUGCACAUGUUGGAAUACUCUGGGUUUUUCUGCAAAGAUAGGCAUAUUUUGGGUCUUUGAAAAUGUGUCAGUUAUUUAAGCAGGAUGUUUGAAUACUGGAGGUGUCGGAUUAGGCAGGCUACAUUGUAGUACUGUUCAUCCUCCUAAACUAUUAUUUUUUAAUGAAAUAGAUCUAAGUUUUAUUAACACUGUUUAUUCAUAUUAACAUUCAGCAUCUAAGAGUUGCAAUUACAAGAAGAAGAGUCAUUAAUGAUCAUGUCAAAAAAAUAAAUCAAUAAGUUGGUAGCUUGUGUGGUCCUAAUAGUAAAAAUAAUUAAUUUGAAAUAAUCAAUUGAAUUUUUGCAUGGUGGACUCAAAUAAAAAAGAGCUUUCCAACCCUAAUGGAACAGUUCUAAAUGAAAUGAGGCAUUUGAAAUGAAAUGAGGUUUUUGUAGUACACAAUAUAGUUAAAAGAUACCCUUAAGGAAAUACUAUAUUAUAUACAUUAUGUACAAAUUAAACGCAUCUUAAUUGUGACCAAGUAGGCUGUCAUAUUACAUAAGAAGUGAAAAUUCUCAGUUAAAAAGUUUAUGUUUAAAAGCCUUAUUUGUAGCUACACCAAUACACUUGUGCUCAAGUGUUCUGUACUUUAGUCAUGCAACUCUCAAAGGAAACUUGGGUCUUUCUUUUGGAAGAUAAAAAUCUCUUUGUAUUUUUCUGUUUUUCCUUUUUCACUUUCUCCCGAAGAUUUUUUUUAAUUGUUCUGUCUGUUUUAAUACACUGGAAUUUUCAUAUAUUUUUUUCUUUUGUAUUUUAAAAACUUUCUUUUUUAAGGGAUUUCUCUAAAAAUUCAACUGGUUGUUAAACCCAACUUGGUAUUGAUUAAAACUUCAAUUUAGUAAAAUUGUAUAUAAGGCAAGAGAAUUACUUUUAGCUAUGAGAGUUCAAUGAUUAAUGAAAAUAAUAUAGUGAAAUACUUAUUCACCUCAAGCAGCCAAUCUUUGGCAAUUUUGUUAGAAUGAAAUUAAUAACAUCACUGAUGAAUUAUUAACUUGCAUGUGAAUAAUUCUACCACAUUGAAUGUCUAUUAAUGUGGCAUUUACUCUAUAUUUUUAACUGUUUUUUUCUAAUAGAAUUUUAGAACUCAUUGGCGACAGGCGUGCGGGAGGUCAGUUGGCUUUAGGUUGCAAUUGUUUCAUUGCAAUAAAUUAUGAAUAAUUCAACCUGUGCUAUUCAAAUUUUGAUAUAGUGUGUUACUGAUGACAAAAUUGAGGUCAAGUUCAAUUUGCACUUUAUAUUGUUUCCAUGUAAUUACUUAAUUGAACAGUUCAACAAAUGCUUUUUAACAUGUAAGUAUGUUGUUACCGAUGACAAAAUGAGAUCAGUUUUGAUAUUGAUAAUUUUCACUUUUGUCGUUCAGGAGUUAUGGUUCUUAUUGAUUAAGGGCAAUAACUUUUAGAAAUAAUCCACCAAUCAUAUUUCAAAUUUGAAUAGGGUGUUUAUACUUAUGGCCAAAUUGAUGUCUACUUCUAUAUUGACAAUGUUUUAAUAUUGCAUUCAGGUGUAAUGGCCAAUAAAUAGAUGUAAAGAAAACCAAGUUUGCUGUCAUUUUGACAGCCACUUGUUUGUGCAUUGUGUUUGGUGAUUGCUAGUCAGGUCCUUGACACAGGACACAUACAUUGUUUAAUGUUAAUAUGCACAAUUACAUUAGAUCCCUCAAAGUUUGAAUUCUAUGUUUCAGUGUAACACACAUUAUUUUAAUUUUGUGCGAGUGUAGUAUAGGAAUUCUAAAAACUCAUCCAUUUUUACCACUUAUAUUUCCAUCACACUUUCUCAGGUACUACUAAAUAGAAUAACUAUAUUUAGUCAGCAUCUUGACAGGAAAAUUUAAGGAACUGAAUUUUUGGCUCUCCCUUGACACCAUUUGCGAGUAUGGUCUUGAGGAAACGAUGAUAGUCUGCCAGAAGGGGACGAUAAAUGACUGACCUGUGUUAAGGGAGAGCCAUAUCUCUUGCAUGUUAAAGACACUCUUGUAGAUUUUGAAAAAGAGCAGACUAAUGCUGCUACAAGGCAGGCAGCACUUGCACCCACAAAGUGGAAAGGGAUUAAUAUAAGUUUGCAAAACUUGUUUCCCAAUCCUUUGUUAAUAAAUAUGUUUAAACUAAACUAAACAAUAGCAUCUUGACAUUGAUAAGUUGUAUUGUGUGAACACUUUCAAUAUA
rnacentral:lncRNA from 1 species